GAAAGUGCCUAACAGUUUAUUGGGAUAAAUAGCUUACAAGGCAUUUGUUGUCACAUGUAGAAAGGGUUCUUCCCUCUCCCUUGAUAGGUGUCUGCACCCCUCACCCAUCAGCAAGUAGAGUUUUCUCAACCAUAGUGCAAUUGGUCAAUUCUAACACAUUCUUGAACAAUAUUCAGGACAUCCCACAUAAGAAUGUCGGUAAUUCAGCUGGAAGUACACCUCACAGCAGAAAUUGUGCUUUAAAAGGACAUGGAGAUGGUUUUCAUAAAAAAUGUCCUGAUUUGAAGGGCAUCAAUAACGUCAGAAAGUCUGCUUCUAACAAAGCAGUAGCAAUGAAAAAAAUACAAAAACUACAAUCAGAUCUAAAGUCUUCAUUGGCAUUCGAAGAGACUGGAACAAAUGGCCUUGGGGAUUCUAAGGAGGGUAGACAGGGGGAGAGAAAGAUAGACACCAGAAGACCUGUUUUGGAUGAUGCCCAGUUCCUACAGAGGCCUGUGGUUGUGGAUAAACCCACCAUAACCCCACCAGUAAAAGUUCCAGUCCACCUAUUUAAUGUUAUUCCAUCCAAUAAAUCUAAUAAGUCCAUUUCAGAAAAUGCAGUAUUUGCAAAGG